rnacentral:lncRNA from 1 species
GAUGAACGCGCGUGGACGUAAAAACGGGACGCUCGAGAGAGAGUGUAUAUGUAGUAAGGCUAGUUCGUUAUAAAAACGAGCCAACGGAACGUCAAGUAUUUAUAUAUAUAUAUAUAUCUAUUUAUAUAUUUAUGUAUGUAUGUAUUGUGUAUAUAUAUAUAUAUAUCUAUAUAUAUAUAUAUAAGUAAAGAUAAUAACGACGCUGUUUCACGAGCACCGCGACACAAUUGGUACGCAGGCUACCGAUAGACUGACGGGCCAUGAACGAGCGCAACGAGCGCAACGAACAACCAGAACCACCACCACCACCUUCAGCACCACCACCAUCACCACCGCAGGGAUGAGGCGGCCUUACGAUGAGCUUUCUGGGUCGGAGGAGGUAGACGCGAGCGCAGGACUUUGUAUAGUAGAGGGUGAAAGGGCUAGACUAGGGGGUGUCACGCGGUAAAAUACGUCGAGAGGGGUCAACGGGGUGAGAGAGCGAUGAUAUGCAUCGCUAUACUCCAAACAUCAUGGUAAGGUCGCAUACUACUUCUGCUUGCUAUCUUAUCCUAAGAGCAAGGAAUCAUCUUGUAUUAAAUGCUUUUGCUACUGUAUAUUUUUGUCCAUCUUUUUUAGAAUGAGGAUAAUGAUCAAAUGGGAUAGAUGAAUACAAACUUGUAUAGUAACUCUCGUUUCCUGUGCUAACAAAAAACGUUCUAAGUAAGAUAGAAAUAUGACGAUUAUGAACUAAGGAGAAAAUCCUUAAUUGGGAUGUGUGAAUUAAUUGUAUAGCUUAUACGUUCUACUUUGUUUAAUAUUUUUCUUAGUUGACAGAUGCCUGACGUAUUUUCGAGCAAAAUAAGGUCCUAAUCAUUCCGUGGCUAUAUUUUGAAAGAACACGCGACAGGUGCACUUGAUACGAAGGUUCAAGCUCUUCCGCAUGUUUCCAGAUAUGAUCGAUGAUUCUACGAAAAUUCAGCUGUUCGAUUUAUGACUUGGCGAAAUUUUGAUCCUUCCUCGUGGACAGUUCCAACUGAUGACACCGGUGGCGUUGCUAUCUGCAUCUGUUGACGAUAACGUUGGAAACGACCAUAAGUGUAACAAAUUUCUGGUUAUAUUUGUUCAAUUUAUCUGUAUUAUGUUAUAU